CAAGUGAGGGAGCCUCAAGAAGAGCCGCACAGCCCUCUCCCCCUCGAUGCUCACCGUUGUUGGUAGGAGGUGAUGCCCUGGACGUUUUGCGGGUUGCCGUUGGCCGCGGCGCCGGCUCGCCCCAUGCCCGGUGCCGCCGGCACCCCCCCGGCCGCCCCGCCGGCCGCCGCCGCCGCCGUCACCUGCACGCUGAAAUCCGGGAAGAUCCUGAUCAUCCCCGCGGUUCAGCACCCGGCGAGUGUCGGCGAAGAGGUGCAGCAGCAGCGACUCUCCCUCCGGCGGCUGCAGCAGCAGAGCCAGGCACACUGCAAUCCCAUUAGUGAGUGGCGGCCACUCUAAUACCAGGAGAUAUGAAACUGGUUAGUCCCCACAUGUUGCACAUAAAAAGAAUUCAUAAUGAGCAUCUGUGGGAUGUGGAAUGGAUCCCAUGAGUUAGCUGAAGACCUCAUAACGUGAAAAAAUAUCUCUUCGAUGGAAAUUCAUUUCCAUUUACUUAAAGUUAAACGGUUUGACUUUGAAUUUUCAUUAUCUGCUGUUGGAAGGAGCCUGUGACAGGUGAAGAAGAGUCUAUGGGUGGGAAUAAUGGAAAAUAUUUUGACUUUUGAGAGACUCUAAACUCUUCAAACCUAUUGUUAUAACAGAUGAUGCUUGACAUUGCAAAUCAUUCUGUCUUCCUUUUACUUGUAAGUCCUCUAAUCUGUAAUAAACUGUGUACAUGCA